UCUUAGGGAUGCUAGGGUUCCGGUUCGAGAGAACGUCUGGUCCGAGAGCAGCCCGGUGCGCCGACAGGUUCGAUUGCUUCGCUUGCAGGUUCCACUGCGGACACGAACGGCCGGUGGCACUACACGGCGGGACAAAAGCCCGGGAGAU
rnacentral:sRNA from 2 species